UGUGGUCAAAAACACACCCUUGGACCAAAACUAGACAGUUGUCAUACAAAAUCAGGGCUCAGGGCCUUGGCUCAGUCACAUGUUACUCAUUCAUCAGGGCAGAAGCUCCCACAUUUCCCCUUCAAACCCUACCAUGUGCACCUGCUCAGGACUUCCCUGAACCCAUCCCAGAGCCCUGCCCUGCCCUCUGGGCCACAGCAUCACAGGGAGUCUAACUGUCCAAACCUGCGUUAUUACCUUGUGCCAACUCAGCAUGGCUGUACAAACUCUAUUACUGUCAGAAGUUUCCUGCCAGAAAGCAGGGCCUACCCUUUGAGUGCCAACAGGUGUGAAUUGGUAUAUAAAGCCAAGCUCGACACGUGGAGCAAAUGUUCUCAGCAGAUAAUGAAGAAGCUGAAAUAUCUGGUUUAUGGUGGGCAGCAGUCAAAUGACAAAGGCAGCUCAUACCAGCAAAGAUGUGAGGCAUUUAUUUUUUCCUGACGGUACAAUAGCCAGUUUUCUUCUUGUUCCCUGCAGUCAGAGGAAAGUGCAAUUUGGUAUUGUGCAGGACCACAGAAUCUCAAAUGAGACUAUCUCUCUUGCAUUGAUGAAGAUAAAGCACCUUCUUAGAUUUUCAGAGAGCACACGUGGCCCAUUAAGUGGGUAGGUGCCCCUUCCUAGGGUAUCUAUUCUUAUGUACAUGUACACAGGUAGGAAUGUGGUGAUCAAUGCCCAGGGGCACUUUGGGAUCAAUAGGUAGUGCAAGGAAGGCAGUGAGGUGGAAAAUGCCUAGGGCUUGUGCAUGGAUGUAAGUGGGAACUGCUGGCCCCAAGCACCUUCAACUGUGUAACAGUGUGAUUUCAAUGGCAUGUGUUGGAUGAGUGAGUAUGUGUAUUAAUUAAAGAAUGUGACUUUAAAGGAUAUUAACACGAUUAAUUAUUCAACUCUUUCAACCCAAGCUGCAAAGCCUUUUCCCAGGUGCUGUGGGAAGGAGUAGCAAAAAGAAAGAAAUGAUGCUUCAUUUAGCAAGCCAUGCAGAAAAAGGUUUCUGCAUAAUUCUAUUUGGUGCUUUAAAUGACGACAUUUUCAUAGUUUGUGGAAACUGAGCAGAUUGAGUGUCAAGGGACAAGGGAGACCUGGAAUCCUCAGAUCUGACUGUCAGUCCAGGGUGAUGAAUAUGCUGCUGUCCAUAGGAUGGGGGCAGAUAAUGGCCUGGCACAGACUGCCCAAGGUGGGGGGCAGGGGGGGGGGAGUGUCACCAGUGCACACACAGUUUCCUCAUCUUUCUGUCCUCCUCUCCAUCCUCCUCUCUGCUCCUUCCACACUGAUCUAACCCAACCCCCACCUCCACCACAUCUCCAUCUCUUCAUUGGCCUGGUUGGCCAACUCUGAGUUUAAGAACAGGGAUGCCUGUGUCACUGGACACAGGGCAUCUCUCUGUGCACCCAGCCACACUUCACCAUCUUCACCCCAUGGAGGAUCAUCUGUCUGCUUUUCCCCUGAAAGCUGGUCUGCUCCCUGCCUUGCAGCAUAACUUCUGGUUACCUUCAGAACACUGCUAUCUGGUACCAUAGCCACCGGUCACAGGAGGCUGUUGACAUUUAAAUCUGAAAUGUAAAUAAAGUUAAAAAUUCACUUCCUCA
rnacentral:lncRNA from 1 species